CGCGGCUGCGGCCCCUGCGGGCGUGUGUCGCCGGCCGGAGAGGAAGGCGGGGGCAGCCGGCGCCGCGCUGCUUCCUCCGCCUCGUCGCUCAGCCCCUCCGGGGACGCUCUGCGCGACGGGCUCGUGCGGACGCAGCGCGGCCCUCGCGGGGCGGCCGGGCCGCGGGGCGGCGGCCGCGGGAGGUCAGGGCGCCUGCGGGGCGGGGACUGCGGGCUGUCUUCUCCUGCAGAGCCGCCGGGCCUCCCAGCCAGCCCCGCCUGUGAGGACGCCAGGACCCCGUCGUCCCGUCGCCGGGCGGCCCCGGGAUCCCAAGAUGCCUGCGGUGAAAGCUCUUCCGCAGGAAGCAGCCCAGUGCAGUGUCCCUUGCCUGAGAGGGUGAAGCUAAGAGGCAGAAACACAGUCACCCACUCGUUGCCCCGACGCACUCAAGGGUGGGCUUGGAAGCGGCUAACUGUGGUUCCAAAUUGUUCUUUUCCUUCUGUUAUGUCAGGGAGGUGCCGCCAGCCCCGCCGGGCCAGGCCAGGCCUCCGCAGAGGGCUCCCCUGUGCCUUUGCCUUGUGGAUGCCGAGCUUCUCCGGGAGGAGGGACCCAUGACUCUGGACGUGAUUCCCCACACCUCCCGUUAGCUGCAAUAUCGCUGCUUUGUGAGACGACUGCUUCCGGUGGAGAGGCUGACUCACCCGCCAGCAGGGAGCCCGCUUUGGUCUCAGUAAGAAUUCCCUGGAAGAAUACCAAAUGGCGGAACCUCACGGACUGGACGGACGUGCUGUUGAAAUCCCAACUAGUUAAUGUUUCCUGGGUUUCUUUCUUUCAGAAAGGACAGAACCAAACUAACUAAGGCUUAAUUUUCUCUGACCCUUAAUUUGAACGCAGCUGUUCCUUUGUUUUGACUGAUCCUCCACGGCUUUGACAAGUAGAAAUGGCAAGCCACAGGAGAUACUGGGGGACACGAGGAAGCCGUUUGGUGUAAACCUAAUUCGGCCCGGCUUUGUUUUUCCACAAGGCCUGACGUGGCCGUUGAGCAUGCGCUGUACAUCUGCUUAAGCAUUUGCUGUGUCCCGCAGACAAGAACAAAGGCCCUUAAGAUAAAGGUGCAACUUCCCCCACAUGGCAUUUCCUUAAGGACAAGCAUCUCUCCCUGGGCUGGGAACUGAUUGCUAUGCUCACCUGUGACCACCCAGCUCAGGACAACAGACCUGCCACCCUGCUGUGUCCACCAGGACACCAGACCUACUACCUGCUGUGUCUGUCCAUCGCUGUUCCGACAGAGCGGUCUCAUGACUAUUGGAAAAGGGACAUUUCAAGCACAUGUGAAACAUGCUCUUUGGGUGUAUAUAACCACUCUGUACACCCCACGUCUUCGGUGCCCUUCCUUCCUUGGGGAAGGAAGACUCGGGCCAUGGUCCUCACAUUUUGGCUCAGAAUAAACUCACCC
rnacentral:lncRNA from 1 species